rnacentral:rRNA from 1 species
UUGUUCCUACGGGAGGCAGCAGUGAGGAAUAUUGGUCAAUGGUCGGGAGACUGAACCAGCCAAGCCGCGUGAGGGAUGAAGGUACAGAGUAUCGUAAACCUCUUUUGUCAGGGAACAAAGGCGGGGACGUGUCCCCGGAUGAGUGUACCUGAAGAAAAAGCAUCGGCUAACUCCGUGCCAGCAGCCGCGGUAAUACGGAGGAUGCGAGCGUUAUCCGGAUUUAUUGGGUUUAAAGGGUGCGUAGGCGGUCCGUUAAGUCAGCGGUAAAAUUGCGGGGCUCAACCCUGUCGAGCCGUUGAAACUGG